AUUGAACGCUGGCGGCAGGCCUAACACAUGCAAGUCGAACGAGUGGCGGACGGGUGAGUAAUGUCUGGGAAACUGCCCGAUGGAGGGGGAUAACUACUGGAAACGGUAGCUAAUACCGCAUACCAUCGGAUGUGCCCAGAGGGGAUUAGCUGGUAGGUGGGGUAACGGCUAACCUAGGCGACGAUCCCUAGCUGGUCUGAGAGGAUGACCAGCCACUCUAGAACUGUGACACGGUCCAGAAUCCUACGGGAGGCAGCGAUGGGGAGUAUUGAGAGAUGGGCGCGAGCCUGAUGCAGCCAUGCCGCGUGUAUGAGGAGGGCCUUCGGGUUGUAAAGUACUUUCAGCGAGGAGGCGUUACUCGCAGAAGAAGCACCGGCUAACUCCGUGCCAGCAGCCGCGGUAAUAC
rnacentral:rRNA from 1 species